rnacentral:rRNA from 1 species
GACGAACGCUGGCGGCGCGCUUAACACAUGCAAGUCGAGCGAGAACCAGCCCUUCGGGGCUGGGGAGAGCGGCGAACGGGUGAGUAACACGUGGGUAAUCAACCCUCGGUACUGGGAUAGCCCGGGGAAACCCGGAUUAAUACCGGAUGGCCCUUCGAAUCCUCGGAUUUGAAGGAAAAGGUAGCUUCGGCCUCCGACCGGGGACGAGCCAGCGGCGGAUUAGCUUGUUGGUGGGGUAACGGCCUACCAAGGCGACGAUCCGUAGCUGGGCUGAGAGAACGAUCAGCCACACUGGGACUGAGACGCGGCCCAGACGUCUACGGAAGGCAGCAGUGGGGGAUCUUGCGCUAAUGCGGGAAACCGUGACGCAGCGACGCCGCGUGGGGGAAGAAGGCCUUCGGGUUGUAAACCUCUUUCAGUAGGGACGAAGCUACUCGGGUUAAUAGCCCAGAGGGUGACGGUACCUCCAGAAGAAGCCCCGGCUAACUACGUGCCAGCAGCCGCCGUAA